AUUGAACGCUGGCGGCAUGCCUUACACAUGCAAGUCGAACGGCAGCACGGGUGCUUGCACCUGGUGGCGAGUGGCGAACGGGUGAGUAAUACAUCGGAACAUGUCCUGUAGUGGGGGAUAGCCCGGCGAAAGCCGGAUUAAUACCGCAUACGAUCUACGGAUGAAAGCGGGGGACCUUCGGGCCUCGCGCUAUAGGGUUGGCCGCUGGCUGAUUAGCCAGUGGGGGGGGUAAAGGCCUACCAAGGCGACGAUCAGUAGCUGGUCUGAGAGGACGACCAGCCACACUGGGACUGAGACACGGCCCAGACUCCUACGGGAGGCAGCAGUGGGGAAUUUUGGACAAUGGGCGAAAGCCUGAUCCAGCAAUGCCGCGUGUGUGAAGAAGGCCUUCGGGUUGUAAAGCACUUUUGUCCGGAAAGAAAUCCUUGGCUCUAAUACAGUCGGGGGAUGACGGUACCGGAAGAAUAAGCACCGGCUAACUACGU
rnacentral:rRNA from 1 species